rnacentral:rRNA from 1 species
CCUACGGGUGACAGCAGUGAGGAAUAUUGGUCAAUGGACGCAAGUCUGAACCAGCCAUGCCGCGUGCAGGAAGACGGCUCUAUGAGUUGUAAAGAUCUUUAAUCGGGGACGAAUUUUGACGGUACCCGAAGAAUAAGCUCCGGCUAACUACGUGCCAGCAGCCGCGGUAAUACGUAGGGAGCAAGCGUUAUCCGGAUUUAUUGGGUUUAAAGGGUGCGUAGGCGGUCCGUUAAGUCAGCGGUAAAAUUGCGGGGCUCAACCCCGUCGAGCCGUUGAAACUGGCAGACUUGAGUUGGCGAGAAGUACGCGGAAUGCGCGGUGUAGCGGUGAAAUGCAUAGAUAUCGCGCAGAACUCCGAUUGCGAAGGCAGCGUACCGGCGCCAGACUGACGCUGAGGCACGAAAGCGUGGGGAUCGAACAGGAUUAGAUACCCCAGUAGUC